GGUGUCCUCGGCUAACUGGCCAGGCCGCCCGCCUGUCGCGCGGGUAGUGGGGGUUCGAAUCCCCCGGGCACCG
rnacentral:tRNA from 1 species